ACGGAAGGCAGCAGUGGGGAAUAUUGGACAAUGGGGGAAACCCUGAUCCAGCGACGCCGCGCGAGUGAAGAAGUAUUUCGGUAUGUAAAGCUCUAUCAGCAGGGAAGAUAAUGACGGUACCUGAGUAAGAAGCCCCGGCUAACUACGUGCCAGCAGCCGCGGUAAUACGUAGGGGGCAAGCGUUAUCCGGAUUUACUGGGUGUAAAGGGAGCGUAGACGGCAGGGCAAGUCUGAUGUGAAAGCCCGGGGCUCAACCCCGGGACUGCAUUGGAAACUGUCCGGCUAGAGUGCAGGAGAGGUAAGUGGAAUUCCUAGUGUAGCGGUGAAAUGCGUAGAUAUUAGGAGGAACACCAGUGGCGAAGGCGGCUUACUGGACUGUAACUGACGUUGAGGCUCGAAAGCGUGGGUAGCAAACAGGAUUAGAUACCCUGGUA
rnacentral:rRNA from 1 species